UACAGAGGGUGCGAGCGUUAAUCGGAAUUACUGGGCGUAAAGCGCAUGUAGGCGGCAGCGCAAGUCGGGCGUGAAAUCCCACGGCUCAACCGUGGAAGUGCACUCGAAACUGCGCAGCUAGAGUCCUGGAGAGGAAGGUGGAAUGCUUGGUGUAGAGGUGAAAUUCGUAGAUAUCAAGCGGAACACCGGUGGCGAAGGCGGCCUUCUGGACAGUGACUGACGCUGAGAUGCGAAAGCGUGGGGAGCAAACAGG
rnacentral:rRNA from 1 species